rnacentral:rRNA from 1 species
UACAGAGGGGGCAAGCGUUAUUCGGAAUUACUGGGCGUAAAGCGUGCGCAGGCGGUUAUGUAAGUCAGAUGUGAAAUCCCCGGGCUUAACCUGGGAACUGCAUUUGUGACUGCAUAGCUGGAGUACGGCAGAGGGGGAUGGAAUUCCGCGUGUAGCAGUGAAAUUCGUAGAUAUCGGGAGGAACACCGGUGGCGAAGGCGGCGACCUGGGUCGAUACUGACGCUGAGGCGCGAAAGCGUGGGGAGCAAACAGG